CACGAUGGAUCCAUCUCUGGAUGCGCCGAAGUCUGGCCACGUCUGCUUAGGAUUUCACAAACAGAGAACAGACCCUGAGUUAAAGCUGGGAGAAUAUGUUGAGGUCUCUAAGAAGCAUAUAGUCUUUGGCGAAAUCUGCAUUUGGAGAGGACAUUGCACUUGUACAGCUUGUACUGACAGGCAUGUAAGACACUAACUAUGGAUCACUACAUCUUGAACACAGAGGGCCAGAUUCUCCACUCCAGUGGCAUGAAGAGGCCAGAAAGCACAGUGCAGUUCCUGGCAGGGGAGAAUCCCUGAGUGGCAUUGAGCUAGCGUAGCCCUCUUCUAUGCUGCCUUCCCCCAGCCCCCAGUGUAGGGGCUAUGGUGAGGAGGAAGGGAUUGGCUGGAGUGCAACUGUACUCCAGUGAUUCCCUAAGUAGGGCACUGGCCUGUUGAGGCCACAGCCAGCUGCCAAA